rnacentral:lncRNA from 1 species
AUUUCGAGCAUGACUUCAUUGGCGUCAGCAACGUUUUGCUGUUCGGGUUUAGCCGCCAUGUUUAAGUUGGCCGGGUUUCGCACCACUGAGGUCAUGGAUACUCAGGCCUCUUUGCGUGUUUCUUCAACACUGCUUCUAAGGUUAACCGCGUUACAUUUGUUGGAGAAAAUCCUGGGAACGCUGAAAAGGACUAGUGGGUGGGGUGCGAGGGUGGGGUCUUGCCCGAAUUAAAGAUGGCCGCAGUCAGCUCUGCCCCGCGCAAUUUCACGUCAAGUUUUGGAGCUGCGGGAGCCGGCCAGUUGGCCUCAGCGCCUCCUUACGGAAUUGGCGUAAGGCAAAGAGGCGCGGCUGGAAGAACCAGACUGAGAAAGUGCCACAGGGCGGGGGCCGCAUCCGCCCCUCGGCUUCUGGUUACUGACCCGACGGCUUUGUGAGUGAAAGUGAAGAGACACUUCGAGGCAGGUGUCUGUGCUCCCCAUUCAUCCCUGUUUCCGUGGCUAUCUUGACUUUCGGGGUGAAAAGUGAGGUUAGGCCCUGUUUCCCCGACCCUUCCCUCGCGCCAUCACACUCUAGUGGCCUGGCACAGCCCCAGAGGUCGGCCGCUGUAGCCCCCAUUGCGGACUCGCCACAUUCAUAUUGGCUCACCUUGUCGGUGCCCGGUUCGGUCCUCUUGGAGCUCACACUCCAGUUGAGGAAAUGAAUGGACACAGGAACUACUGGGUAACAAAAUACUAAUAAAGGGCUGCGAUUGUGUGAGUUUCUACUGUAGCGAUGAAUGUCGCUGUCAUUGGAACGUUCCCCAAGUGCCUUCUAGUGAAAGCCUUACUUCACUCGGAAUAACCUGUGGUCUUUUCUUGAACGUGAUGGCUCUCUUGGUUGUAUUCUUCAUGCACAUGUGUUACUUUUCCUGUUUAACUACAUGUUAAAGAAAUGUGUAUGUUCCUGUUUAACUGCAUGUUUUAAAAAAGUAUGUGUAUUUUUAAGUUAUAGGCACGUGCAAGAAAGUUCAGAGCAAAAUAGCUUAUAUUAGUGAAACAAUAAAUGUCUACUAAUAGGAGAAUGGAUGAAUAAGUGUCAUUGUUGAACAAAUUGACAUACAACACGAACCAAAAAAUCAGUGAACUAAAGCUACCAUUUUUCAUAUGGAUAGAGUCAUUAACCUAAUAUUGAGGAAGAAAUGAAAAGACAGGUUGCGGAAAGAUAUAUAUGACAUACCAUAAAUAAAAGUUUAAUAAUUACAAAAAAGUAAGAUCAAACUAAAAAUUGUAUAAGGAAAUGAUAGAUACCAAAUUCAGAAUACUGGUUGCUUCCAGAGAUGAACAGAAGGGAAUGUAACAAGAAGGGUUCAUUUGUAUCUAUAACGUUUGUUUUCUACCAGAAAUAUCUUGAAAAUGUGGCAAAACAUUAAGCUAAGUAGAGGGCACAUGGGUGUUCACUUGUAAUUAUUUCCUUUACUGUUCUAUAUACUUGAAAUAUUUCCAAGUAAUUUUUUUUAAGAAAAGAAACUUAUAGAAGCAACUUAUUUUGUAUCUUGAUAUAUGCCAUUUCGUAAGUCUACAUUUUUACUGAACUGCUUAUGAAGUCUGUUGCAACUUAUCUGUUCAAUCAUUGUUUUAAGUUUCUGAAACUUCAAAUGAACUUUUACUUUGGGAAAUUUUGUUGAAUUUCUAUUUUUGAAAAAAAGCAGUGUACCAAGGAGGGUAAAUGUAUAUAGCCUCCGGAGUCAGACUGCCUGAGUUCAAAUCCCAGCUCUCCAUUUAUUAGGCUUGCAACCAAGAACAAGUUACUUAAACUUUCCUGUGAUCCAGUUUCCUCAUCUAUAAACGGAGAUAAUACUUAUCUAACAGGAUUUUGAUAAGAGUUAAAUAGACUAAUACAUGAACACGGUGCUUAGUCAAUGCUUAGUAAAUAUUACCUAAAUAUAGAUUAUUUUAAAAUAUAAAAUUAAAGCAAAUACUUAUAUUAAUAUAACCUAAUAGUCUAAAGGAAGUAAAUCUUUGCCUCCCAUCUCUAUUGAUAAUAUUUCUUUGAGGAAGAUCUCUUAAUGGGUAUGAAAGAGGUGAAUUGUGUUAUUUUGUGCUAUGAAAAUGGAUAAAUUCUUAAUAGAAACUAUAUUAAAUUCCUUGUCUGAAGUUUGUUCAUGUUCACCCCACACUAUGAUAGCUUCACUACUUUUCAUUGAAAAUCACACAGAGUGGCCGGGCGCGGUGGCUCACGCCUGUAAUCCCAGCACUUUGGGAGGCCGAGGCAGGCAGAUCGCCUGAGGUCAGGAGUUCGAGACCAGCCUGGCUAACAUGGUGAAACCCCGCAUCUACUAAAAAUACAAAAAAUUAGCCGGGUGUGGUGGCGGUACCUGUAAUUCCUGCUACUCGGGAGACUGAGGCAGGAGAAUCACUUGAACCCAGGAGGCGGAGGUUACAGUGAGCCCAGAUAGCACCACUGCACUCCAGCCUGGGCAACAAGAGCGAAAUUCCGUCUCAAAAAAAAAAAAGAAAAAAUUAUACGGAGUGUUACAGGCAAUGAAAUAAUGAUAUUCUGAGGAACUUUCUUUGUAGGGAGGUUUCAUAGCCAAUGUUCUAUAAUGUAUAUACAUGUGUUAUGCAAAUUAUACGUGGUGCACGAGGAAAGAGAAUUGUAUUGAUCUUAUGAUCUCUUUAUUGCACUUAUUUGCAAUAUUUAUGAUCUCUUUAUUGCAUUUAUUUGUUAAUAAAAUAUAGCCUAGACUUUACUGACUCAGAAACAGAUUUAAAAAAACUGAUCUGAAAUUCUGGACAGACCAUAUAGAUGGUUUCCACCACAUAUUUACAGCGUCCAAACUCACGUGGGCCUUCAACUUUACCAAGCAAUGCUUGUUUCCCUAGUUGGCUCUCUCUUAAUUUCCACAACAGCCACUUCUGAUUUUCUCCUUAUUUUUCAAACCACUCCCCUCACUUAUUCUCAAAUAAGAGAAUAGAAAAAAAUAGAAACCAUCAAAGAGGAACUCAGGCUGAGCGUGAUGGCUCAUGCCUGUAAACCCAGAACUUUGGAAGGCCGAGGCAGGCACAUCACCUGAGGUCAGGAGUUCGAGACCAGUCUGGCCAACAUGGUGAAACCCUGUUUCUACUAAAAAUACAAAAAUUAGCCGGAUGUCUUGGCGGGUGCCUGUAAUCCCAGCUACUAGGGAGGCUGAGGCAAGAUAAUUGCUUGAACCCAGGAGGCAGAGGUUGCAGUGAGCCAAGAUCGUGCCACUGCCAGCCCUGGUGACAGAGCGAGGCUCCGUCUCAGAAAAAAAAAACAGGAACUCCAACAAUUUUAUGUCUCCAUACUCAUUCUUUCAAGCUUCACGGUAGAUUAGGUGCCCCCCUGUCUGAGGCACAUAUCUCUGCCAGUUCCCUGUAUUCCAUCUCUUUGUGCUCGUUCUCUAGAUUCUCACUCCUCCUGCCUUUCCAGGAACUGCAGUCAAUGGGUUCUUUAUUCAACAAGCUUCUGGGUUCUGCAACUACCACUCCACUGAAAUUCUCAACGAGGUCACCAAGAACCUCUUGUGUUCAAUCCAGUAGACCCUUUGUCUUAUUUUCCUUGACCUCUCUGCAGCAUUUGAUACUAGAACCCUUGGCCUUCUGCAUUCAUAUGCCUUGAUUUGUGAAACCACACUUUCCUAGUUUUUCUCCUAGAUCUCUGUGUCUCUAUUUUACCUUUCAGGACCCCCUUCUGGCUGUCAAAUAUCCAUGAACCCCAAAGUUGUGUGCAAUUUGUUUCUAUCUCACUUUUUACAUUAUCCUUUAUGUGGUCUCAUUCACCUUCAUGGCUUCAGCCGCCGUAUAUACACUAGUAACUCCUAAUGCAAGUUUCUAGUCCAGUUCUCUCUUCUGACUACAAACCUAUAUGUCUUACUGCCUUCAAAAUAUCUGUCCUGGAUGUUCCAAGAUAUCUCAAAAAUCCCAAACUAAACUCUUUAUUUUACCAGCUUUUAUGUUUCUAAUCUCUAAAAGUGGGUAUCAUCAACCCGCUUUUGUAAACCAGAAAUAUGGGUAUUUACUCAGCCCGUCUCUCUCUGUCAGCCAUUAGAAAGCCCUAUCAGUUUUUCCUUCUCAACUCUAAUUUUCCAUUUCUCUCCGCUUCAUUACUAUUCUACUUAAGCCAUAAUUAUCUCCUGCCUCAACUCCUUGCAGUAGCUUUUCUGGCCGGUAAUACUGCAACUCAUCCUUUACAUCGUACCCAGAGUGACCUUUCUAAACUUUAACUAUGUCAGUCCCCUGUUUAAAGUCUUAAAAUUUUCCUUGAAGAAACUUGCAUGACACAUUCCCUCAUUUCUGGCUAAUCUGCUAUACCUUGCUCACCCUAAAUCCUAGUAAGCCCUGCUGCUCCCACUUCACUCUCCUUUUUACAUUUGCAUUCCUUACCUGGUUUUUCCUUUAAGUCUCAGCUUAACCACUAUUUUCUCUAAAAGUCUUCCUUGAUCACCAAAAACUAGGCUAGGUACCCUCUCACCUCCCAUAGUAUCUUGUGUUUUCUCCUAUGGUAGUUCUAGUAGCAGAGUUUUGUAAAUACUUGUCUCCUAUUUAAGAGAGACAAAUUUAAGUCUAAACUCCUUAAAGUCAAGAUCUCUUGUCUUGUCCACCUCUGUAGCCUCAGCACCUGGCCCAGGAUAUGGUAUUCAUUACUUUAUUUGACAAUUACUUCUUGAGUGAUAAUUGGAUACUAGGCACUAGCACAUUGGUUGAAGUGUGGAAUGGGGAAACCUCAAGAGGGAAUCUCUUGAGAUGUGCCAAGACGUCAAUGUCUUAAUUACAAUAAUAAGACGUAUUUUUUACCUUUUUUGUUCCCAUUAUUUAAUGAGCACACAGUGUCAUUUUCCAGAGAUUGUGUGAAGUGUGAUAUUGCAACAGCUUGAAUGCAAAAACAAAAUAAUCCGGCUAUCUUCUAUUAAGCUAGACAUUAAAGGGGUUUGCAAAAAUGUAAAGCAAUGGCACUCCAAACUAUUUCUUUGUUGUUGUUUUGGAAGAUACAGUUAUUUUUCAUCAAAAUAUGUUUUUUACAUUAUCAUGUAACGGUUUAGUGUUAUUUGAUGAAUUUUAAUGAAUUGGUUUUUUAAUGAAGUAGUAAUAUUUUAAAACAUUCUCAGUUUUAAUUUUUAAUACAAUAAAUAUCAAUAGAUAUAUUUCACAUAAAGAAAUACUCUUUGGGGUUCUCGAUAAUAUUUAAGAAUGUAAAGGAGUACUGAGACCAAAAGUUUGAGAACUGCUGCACUAGCACAUAUGUGAGCUCAAUGUAGAUGUGUUAAAUUAUAAUUAGUGAAUGUCAGCUUGCCAAAACUCUGGCACACAGCUGCUUAAUGUUUCUUAAUAAAGGUUCCUCCCAAAUGCCCAGACUUCGUGUCUGAACAGGUAAAAAUAUUACCCAGAUUUAACAUUUGAAUAUGCAUAAGUGAAAGUAUUCUUUAGGUCAGUGUGCUUUGUAAACUAUGGAGUGUUAUGCAAAUAUUCUUGUUUUAGUAAUUGUCUGUGAUAAAUAUGGACCAACAUUCUAGCUGGUAGUAGAACCAGGACUACCUAUAAUAACCUGAAGAUGAGAAUUUUUAUAGCCAGCCAUUUCACAUUAAUCUCAUUUAAUCCAUAUAACAAUUUUAUGGAACAGGUAUUACACCCACUUUUUAAUUGAGUAAACCAAAGUUCAAAGAAAUGAAAUGAUUUCCCUUUAGCUCUUCACAUUUUAUAAGGCUCUGAGACAAGGUUCAGAGAACUCAUACUUUUCCAAUAAAUGAGAUCUCAGGUGAAGAGAUUUGUUUCCCUAUUGUCCUGAAUCCUAUCCUUUAUUUGCUGGACAUUAGUCUGGUGAGAGGGUAAGAUGAUUGUUACAAUUUUCAGGUACUUUUUUACCUUUGAUGCAAGAAGAAGGACCAGAGAAUGGUAUUAGGUCUAUAUGAAGGUUCUAUUUGAGGGCCAACUCAGAACAUAACAGUAAAAAUGAGAUGGCACCUCUCAACAGAUCUCUCCUGUUUUCUGCGUUACCAAAAAUUAGCAGACAUGGUCAGGUUGAGUGGUGGAGGGGAAGCUUGAGACUUCAGGUGUGUAUUUUAUGAACCAGGUUAGGCAAUCCACAAUAUUUUGCUAUUAACAGUAACAUCCAAGUAUCCAAAAAGCCCUUGAGUGCUUUAUAUUCCUCCUUUGAAGGAUAUUGGAAGAGGAUUGAGAAAUUAUGUGGAAAAGAAAGAGCCAUUAACUAAAACUUUUUUCUUGUGAAAAUUAAAGUUAUGUAACUUGUUCAUGAAAGCUGAAACUAGGGCUAGGCACGGUGGCUCAUGCCUGUGAUCCCAGCACUUUGGGAGGCCAAGGUGGGUGGAUCACGAGGUUAGGAGUUCAAGACCAGCCUGGCCAACAUGGUGAAACCCUGUCUCUACUGAAAUGCAAAAAUUAGCUGGGCGUGGUGGUGCACGCCUGUAAUCCCGCUACUGGAGAGGCUGAGGCAGGAGAGUGGCUUGAACCUAGGAGGCGGAGGUUGCAGUGAGCAGAUUGUUCCACUGCACUCCAGCCUGGGUGACAGAGCAAGACUCCGUCUCAAAAAAAAAAAAAAAAAAACAAGUUGAAACUAACUUAGUUUUGUAUGAAUUAAUUUUUUUUUCAGGUCAGAUUUCAAAUAUGAAAACUCUUCAUUCAAGAUAUAGCCAGCCCCUCCGUAUCUGUGGGUUCCACACCCAUGGAUUCAACCAACCACAGAAAAUUUUUUUUAAAUUGCAUCUGUACUGAACAUGUACAGACUUCUUCUUGUCAUUAUUCCUUAAGCAAUAUAGUAUAACAGCCAUUUACAUAGCACUUACCUUGUAUUAGGUAUUAUAAGUAACCUAGAGAUGAUUUGAAGUAUAAGAGAGGAUAUGUAUAGGUUAUUUGCAAGUACUACACCAUUUCAUAUCAGGGAGUUGGGCAUCUGAGGAUUUUGUCAUCCACAGGAGGUCCUGGAACCAAUCCCCUCUGAUACUGAGAGACAACUAUUACACAAGAGAAAUAUUCUACCAUUCACAAAAUCUCGUUUAAGUGUUGUGAAAUACAAACACCAGGGAAUCAAGAACUUUAGAAAAUUGUGGCUGUGUUCCCAUAUGUGGUACAAAGAACCAGUGAGUCCCAUUUGUUGUGGUUCCUGCAUUCGAUGACUCCAGAUGUGCCACCACCGAGCUAGUCUUAUGACAACCUAGAAGGCAAAUUGGGAUGGCCCUAUAUUUGUCACUGAGAGCAGAAGGGUUGAGAACUUAGAUCCUGACAGGAGGCCCACCUUUAUUGGAGAAAUGGCUCUGCAACUUAGCUCAUGUAAGACUGCUGGGAUUUGAAAUUUAUCCUAUUAUUUGAAGACUGAAAUCAAAAUAUGAAGGUGGAGCAUCAUGUGUGCCUUCUGUCUUGUUCUCUACUAGGGUGUAAACCAUUUAACUAAAAAUAGUCUCCAAUUUGACACCUUCCCAACAUUUCACUAGUAUACUCCAAAUCUCCAUGCAGGGUUACAGACCUAUUUCAGCUGGCUCCAUUUACUCUGAGGCAGAUAAAGCUGAGAUUGCAACAUCAGAAGCAGUUCAACCAAUCAUUAUGUACAAACCUCAGCCCAUUUGUAUAAUGCAAUCCUUCUGGUAGUAAUGACACAAAACAUGCCUAUAGGGACGAUCACAACCCUGUCAAAGUCCCAAGUCAUCUGUGGCACCAGGGCCACAGAACUUCUUACCACUUGGAAGCAAAAUAGUUGCUUUAAUGGUAACCAAAUGCCCUCCUUCAAGACAGUAUUUCAAGAAGGAGGAGUAUACGUAUAUUAUACAAACAUAUCCAAUCCCUUUAGAAGAUAAUUAUCAAUAUCAUGCAGGGAAGCUGGAACACACACACAAAAUCGAGUACUAUCUAGAAGAUCAAGCCACAAAUCUCAAGAGAAGCAGUAAGUGUCCAGGGCCUGGGAUUUUUUAUCUUGGCCGUGAGAAUAGCACAGCCCAUGGUGCAGAAACGACAGGCUAGUUGUCCAGCAUAACAUGGUGUUUUAUUUCACCAUAGUAGACUGCUGGGAAAUCUCUGGAGGCCUUGGCAGCUGUGUCUUGUCUUUAAUAUGAAGCCUGGGGGGGAAGACAGAGAGAGAGACUCAUAAUUCACAAGAGGCCCAGCCGUAAGAAAGCCAUUCUAAAUAACUGAAUCAGGCACCGAGGAGGAGCGACUAUUCCAUUCCUAAGUCAAGAAUGCUUUUUGUCUUUCCUUCUCUCCUAAUUGGCUCAUGAAAAGAUCAUUUAUGUGUGGUAGAAUCAGUACAUCAGAGGCAGCUUCUGUUUCUCUCCAUUUCUCCUCCCCACUGCUGCUGUCCUGUAAAAAGACCCUUUGUUACAGACUGAAACAGCAGAUGCAGCUCAGAUAUUAUCUUGAAUAAUUUUGUGGGGAGCAUUUUAUCUUGAAUUGGUGUAAUGCCAUUUUCACGUGGAAAGUGGUUCUAUGUCUGAUCCAAAUGUUCUAGAAACUUGAGAGACCCAUAUGGCAAAGAAGUACUUUACACACAUAUCUCUUUAAAGUAGUGCAGGGUAUGGGAAGAACUGAUAAUGCUGAUUAAAUGAUAUGUAGACGAAAUGAAUGUAAACUGGCAUCAUGGGCUGAGUGAGUCAGGGGAGGCCUUGUGGAAGAGAUAAGAGUAAUAGAAAAUGCUAGGUCAAGUAUGUGUAGAGGCCUGGAGAGAGGAAUGGACUUAGUGGGUCCAAAAGUAAGAAGACUUGUUUGUUGUGAAUACAGAGUUAGAAGUAGGUAGAAGAAAAAGUUGGUCGGGUCCUGCAGAGAUUAAAAAUCCGGUUUAAGAUUUUAGAUUGUUUCAAUCAUCAAUUAGUUGGUGUCUGUGUUCAUUGUGGAAAUGCUUUAAAUAUAGAUAACAAAAAGGAUAAUAACUUACAAUCCUACCAGUCGUAGGAUGAUGAUGGCAGACAAUGUGGUGCACAUUCUUUCAUAUAUUUUAUUGUCCUAGUUUAAGGUUCCCUAUAGGCAGAUCCUGAGAUGAAGAUUUAAAUGCACACCACUUAUUGAGGAGGUGAUUUCAGGAAACACCGGCAGGAGAGUGGGGCAGUAUGACAGGGAAAGAAAGGAAGCAAAAAAAUAAAGGGCAUGUUCUCAAAGGAAUCAGUUGGAGAGCAGUCAUGCUGGAGACACUGGAAGAGAGUAUAGAAGAUGUCUCAAUGUAGUCCUGCCUAGGGAUCAGGAAGUCGAAGUAUUUAUCCACUAAUUCUUGUCAAUUGAGAAUUUAUUUGAGGGGCAUUAACUCUCCAAAACGGUCUCCCUGUGCCGGAAAAAUAACCCUAAGCAGAAUGUUGUAGGUAUUUGCAGCAAAUAGCCCUCAGUGUGUCCUGAGGAUUGGUGUAGUACAUAAAUAUACAAAAUUAUUUUUAUUUAUAAAAAAGCUUUCUAUGCAUCAGGCUCUGUACUGUGUGUUUUACUUGCAUUCACUCAAAAUAGUUCUCACAGAAGCCCUAUGAGGUCGGCGCUACUCUUAUCCCCUGAGGAUUAGAGGCUGGGAGAAGUAUAUAUGAGAGUCAUAUGGAGAUUAAAUACCUGAAGUCAUGAGGAGAUGAUGCACUCUCCAAGAGAGCUUUGAUGACAGCCUAUUUAUGCAGCUUCUGUCAUCUGUACACAUUCUCCUCUUUCUGUCAACAAAGAGUUUUUCUUUUGCAAUUGUAAAUGUCCUCUGUUUUCAGAGACUUUUGUUGGAAAACAAAACAAAAUCUUGAGACAUGAAGGAUCUGUAAUGGACACCUGUCGAUUGUGUCUGUUCAGCAGCUCCUCUCCCACCUGUCUUCCAGUACAACACCUUAUUUCAUUGGAGAGAAAGGUUCUACCUCUUCUCCUUAAGGUUUUAGUGGACAGCCAAACCAGUCUUCAGUCUACAGGGUCGAUUCCAACUCUUUGAGGCAUGAAGGACCAGGAAGGAGGCAUCUGCCUUUAGGAAAUGCUGAACUGCAAUAGCAACAUGAAGCAUGGUUUCCUAUUGACUGCUGCCUUUGACCUGCAGCCAUUGAUGGCAUUCAUCAAUCAAAGUCUAACCAAUUGGGACUAUCAGACUUUUCCCUCCUACUCACACAACUCAAGGACAUGGAGAACUCUGGUUUUAGGGGGUGUAAGCUGAUGGUUCCAUGAGUUCUAACCUGUGGCUUAGCCAGUCUUUGGCUUGUAUAAGCCUCUAAAGGUUCAGCAGAUCUAAAAUCUUAGCGUGAUUGUAUUAACCUGAAAGCUAUAAGACACCCUUGAAAUAAUAGUUGCCCUUAAUUAAGCACUAUGUAUCUGGACUUUGUGUGUGCUGCCACAAUGCAAUCCUCACAGAAUCCUGCAAAGUAGGUAUUAUUGCCCUUUUAUGAAUGAAGACCUUGAAAUUCAGAGAGGUUAGCAGCCAUCAGCCCCUCAAACCCAGGCCUGUAAGACUGAAGGCUUUACUCUCAGGAUAUGCAACGAGGCUAUACAUUUAAUCCUAAACUCCCAAGCACAACUUUUAGAAGGGCUCUCUAGCCCUUUGUUAUUUAAGUCAGUGAUUCUUAAACAGGAUAUGGAAACCCCCAUUGGGUGGAUUUGUGUAUCAACUCAGCUAAACUAAAACUAUGGCACCCAAAAUUCCCUUCUCUGCCUUAGCCUCCUAAAGUGCUGAGAUUAUAGGUGUGAGCCACCAUACCUAGCUUUGUGUGAGAUUUAGAAAGCAAAAGUAAAGCAGUGAAGUAGCAGACAUACAUUUUUUACACCUGAAAGGUUGGUGCAGGUCACAGGUGCUGUUGCAUCUCAUUCAUGUUGUUCCUUACCUGUUGACUUGCAUUGUGGUGUGGAACAGUAGCCACGCCUGCAACUUCUCCAGCCUCUCUGACUUCCAGACCCAACAUGUCCUCCAUGACGAAGGACACCAGCUUCUCCUAGAGAGUACCUGACCAUUGAAGUUGGCAGCUUGAAAGCAGUAGGAUAUGAAUGCAGAUUCCAGUCCGUCCUCGUGGGUUCCAGUUUGCCUGUUUCCCCAACUUCACAGACAUCUCUCUUUCCCAAAUGCCUUCUCUGAGGAUUUCAGGCUUCAGCACCAAACACAGAUGCGAUGGCCUCACACAGAGUAAGUAACAAGCUCCCCCAAAUGAAUAAGAUCAAAUCCCUAUAAUAAAUGCCCUACUAUAUCAAUCUAUCUACCUGUCUGUCUAUCUAUCUGUCUAUCUAUCUACCUACCUACCUACCUACCUACCUACCUACCUACCUACCUACCUAUCUAUCUCCUAGUAUUCUACUUCUCUAAUUGAACCUUGACUGAUCUCCUACACCUUUGGUAAGUGAAGACUUUAAGACUACAGAUAAUUUUAAGGAGACCAUUUCCUAGAUCUUCCAUCUCCUGUCUACUGUUUCCUAACACUGAUCUAUAAGCCCAUGUUUGCCCUCACUGUACCAGUUUGGUUCUCCAGGAAGAAGAUGCUGACAGAGAGAGAGAGAGAGAGAGAGAGAGAGAGAGAGAGAGAGAGAGAGUUAGGAAUACCAGUGUUUUAUUGGGGAGUGACAUCUGGGAAAUGAGGGGGAGAGCAGGGUUAGGCAGCUGGAGUUGUCUGACUGUAACGCAGACCCCACAAAGUUGGCCAGCUCAGUGGGGAAGCUCCAGAGCCAAGAUUGCAUCUUAGAAGUUCUCCUGUUGGGUGGAAAUGGCCAAGCCCAUGUACAUCAGCUGUUUUUCAGUUAUUGCCUGAGGCUGCCCCAAGAAGAGCAUGACCUUGGCUGGAAAGCUGAGGCAGAUCCUGAGGAACGUAACAGCUGGAGGGUGUCUGCUAGCCACACUCCUCCCAGCUAAGGAGACAGCCUUUCUUGCAGGGGGAUCUGAGCAGCACAUUUCCACAUCUGCCACCUCUCUCAUCCCAAAUCUUAUGAAGGAAUAUUGCCCCAGGCUAUGAAAACUUCCCCUGUGAAUGAAACAAGUGGGUAUAUUGAAAUGUUGAUUUGGGGGCCUCAUCAAUCCAUAAGUGUCAUGAAAGAGGGAUUCUUCUAGACCAGUAUUUCUCAACCUCUCUUCAUUAUUGCACCCCAU